GACGAGCGCUGGCGGCGUGCCUAAUACAUGCCAGUAGAACGCUGAAGGAGGAGCUUGCUUCUAUGGAUGAGUUGCGAACGGGUGAGUAACGCGUAGGUAACCUGCCUGGUAGCGGGGGAUAACUAUUGGAAACGAUAGCUAAUACCGCAUAAUAGUAGAUGUUGCAUGACAUUUGCUUAAAAGGUGCAAUUGCAUCACUACCAGAUGGACCUGCGUUGUAUUAGCUAGUUGGUGGGGUAACGGCGCAUCAAGGCGACGAUACAUAGCCGACCUGAGAGGGGGAUCGGCCACACUGGGACUGGGACACGGCCCAGGCUCCUACGGGAGGCAGCAGUAGGGAAUCGUAGGCAAUGGACGGAAGUCUGACCGAGCAACGCCGCGUGAGUGAAGAAGGUUUUCGGAUCGUAAAGCUCUGUUGUAAGAGAAGAACGAGUGUGAGAGUGGAAAGUUCACACUGUGACGGUAGCUUACCAGAAAGGGACGGCUAACUACGUG
rnacentral:rRNA from 1 species